ACCGGAAGUUGAACUCAUGCCUUCAAAAUAAAUGGAGGCAGAUCUCACCUUGCUGGCAGAGAGAGGAGAGGAAGUAGAAGGGACUCGGUGGUGUUGAUCCUGUCUCCCUCUUUGGCAGACAGACAGGUUGUCUUGUCAACAGAGCGACUCCUCUCGGGUCAGCGGGAGGCGGAGUCUACUGAGGAGGUGGGCCCUGUGACGUGGAGUGAUGCGGAAGGGGAGGAGCUUAGCCAAGGAAUCACCCUCAAAAUACAACACCCCAAAGCUGUCCACCAGGUGACGUGGCAUGCCAAAGGAGAUUACCUGGCGUCGGUAAUGCCCGAUCACUCCAGCCACCUGCAGGUGUUCAUCCACCAGGUGAGCCGGCGGCGCAGUCAGAACCCCUUCAGGAAGAACAAAGGUCUGGUCCAGUGCGUAUCCUUCCAUCCUGUCAGGCCCUACUUCGAGCUAAACACUCAACAAAGUCACGACUGUUUGCUGUGCUGGCUCCUCAUUGGUG